GCCAAGAAGAAGAGGAAAAGGUGCGGGGUCUGCGUGCCCUGCAAGAGGCUCAUCAACUGUGGCGUCUGCAGCAGCUGCAGGAACCGCAAAACGGGACACCAGAUCUGCAAAUUUAGGAAAUGUGAGGAGCUAAAGAAAAAACCUGGCACUUCACUAGAGGCAUAUGAUGUAACUCUCCAGAGAACACCUGUUCCCAGCGCUGAAGCAUUCCGAUGGUUCUUUUAAGCAGUAGUUUAUCUUAUUUUCAAGACAGUCCGAAGUGAAUGGCAAGCUAAAGUCUUGUUUUAAGAAACUGCUUAGUCCACCAUUGAAGAAUAUACUCAGAUACUAUUUUCAUUUAUGUAUAGGGGUUUCCUCAAAAACAAAACAUAAACAAUCUGGGAGGCUGGAGAAUUGACCAGUUUAUUCACAUUCAGUACACUGAAUCUUUAUUUGAUGUAAUUUAGCUAUACUAGUGAAGUUGUUGUCUAUUUUUAAAGUGGCUGUAAAAAAAAGUUUGGGUAAACCCCUGCUAUAAAAUCAUGUAUCUUUGAAAAGUAACAUAUCUAUACUUCAUUUUCAAAUAUAUGUGUUUCAGUACUGUAAACUGUACAGAUAGCAGCUUGUAUUUUGUGUGUUUAGACACAAGGAGACAAUCAUGUCUGAGCAUCUAUGGAGAUUAACAGUUUGUACACAACAGUGUGGUUCUGCAAGUUAAAUCUGGAGCAAUAAAUUCUAGCUUUAAAUAUUAUUUUGCUGAUUAUUUAGCAGCAGCACUGUUUUACCAUGCAUCCUUCCAUAGAGACUUGAUGCCAAGUUUUAUAAGAUUAAAGGAUUAUGAUACAUCUAGCAAUUACCUUCAGUUAUAUUGUUGUAAGAGGGGAAGACAUAAGAUCUAAAAUCAGUCUUUUUGAGCACUAUUUUAGAGUAGUGAUUGUGCACUUGCGUUACUUCCAAAAGAGCUUUACAGAAAGUUAUCCCUCCAAAGUAACACACCGUAGUUGACUUGCUUUUGACUGUACUGUAAGGUGAAAUGCGCAGCAUAGAUGGACAUGUGAACAUGAGGAGUGAAUAAUUUAUAUAUAGCGUGUUCUAGCAUACACAAUGAAAAGAGUACAAUAUCUGAGAAAAAUCUUAUCACUCAAUGUAUUUACCUUCCCACAAAGAGUUGCUAUGUAGGUUUUUCAAUAGAUGGAAUUAAAAUUUUAUAAAAUAUAUGAAAAUAUUUUCGCUCCAUGUGCAACAUUUAGUGAUUAGAGUUGUUUAUAAAAUUUAGACAGGCUUGGAUCUCUCCUGCAGUUGUGCAGGCCAUCAGAGCCUGGGUAUUUUUUAAAUAUAUAAGAAAACCCCACAUUUUUUAAAGAGUAACUAUUUGUCCCCGUGCAUCUUUCUUUAUCCACUGAUCUUGGCCUUGCUGAAUCACUGGUGGUCCUUUGGGCUCCCAGUGAAAUGCUUUACCAUUCUUUCUCCUGUUUAGGUAUACAGAACAUUUACUCAAAAGGGCAGAGCUUGGAGUUACAUAACUCAGAUGUAAUACAAGGAUAUGAAGCAUACUGAGCUUACGUACACUUCAUACAGAUUACCUCAUCACCUAUUUAUAGCUCAGCUUUGUUUUCACUCAUAUGAAAAGGCCGUCCUACGCAAGUAAGAGAAUGCUGCUCCACCAUGUAUUGAAUGUGUUUGUUUCUUGUAUACAUGAUAGAACGAUAAAUGCUGGUAGCCUUGCAGAACAGAACAGGCUAAGGAUGCAGUGUGUGUGCCAAUAGCAUAGCAUAUCAGCACUUUCUCCAUUAUCUGCUAGUUGUUGCACACUGUUGGCACAUGAUCACCCUCACUUGCUUGAUGAAUCCUGGGGAGCUAGAGAAGCAGCAGAGAGUGCAACUGUGGAGAGUCAGAGCUCUGGGAGAGCCUGAGGACUGAGGAACCAUGGCAAUGGUCAAGAAAACUAAGAGUAGUGGAUGGCAGAAGAAUCCUAGAAUUGUCUGUGAAGAAUCAAGGCUCAGUAGUAUGAGGGGCUGGACAAGAGCCUUCAGAAGGCUGGUGUGUUGGGCUGGAGGAGUUAGCAUGUGCAUUCUAACCAUUAGGGCUGACACCUACAUCCCGGGUUCUGUGUAGCAUGACAUCUUAUAUGUAAUUUCAGAAAAUAAAUGCUAUCUUUCAUGUGCUCCCAACAUGGGCCCCCUCUUAUAGUUUAUAAAAGAUCAUUAAUUACAUAAUCAUAAAAUAAGCUUUAUAUUCAUUUACUUGGCAGCAUUGUACCUGAUGUUAUUUCAUUUAGGACUUUCUGAUUAAGACCUCUGUUACUGCUGACCAAUGAGAGCUACAUAAGGUCUUCUUUACCAAAUUAAUUGAUUUAAAAACUGAAGACUUAUUUGCACAUCUGGCUGGUGAGCUUGCCUUGUUUUUUUGGGAAAAUAGUGAUUGCUCUGACAGAAGUAGAGAUAAAAUUCAGUUGAGGCUACAUUAGGUGUACAAAGAUACUGAUAGCAAUGUACUUAAUUGUCUAAUACCCUAAUGUUGCAUGUCUUGAUGUGGUUUUUUUUUUGUUUGUUUUCUUGUUUUGUUUUCAAGAACUGAUGGAUCUGUAUAUGUAAUUGUGGUGUUUUACAUGUUAAUUCAAAAUUAAGAAAAGCAAACAAACCCGUUAAUUUUUAAAAUUGAAUAAGGAUUGUGUUUCUUUUAUUCCCACUUUUUUUGUGUGUGUGUUAAUGGACACUGUUUCUUUACAUCACAAAGUUUUUAUAUUUCGGUAAAAAUAUUUAUAUGAUGUAGUGCAUAGAGAGAAUUUUGUUUUUUGAUGUUUCAAGAAGGAAUUCCCUAUUCUGUCCUCUCGCUUUCUCUCUCCUAUAUAUGGUUUUUACAUAUUUAUAAAUCAGAUUGUCAAGUUCUAAUCCUAAAAUGCUCUACAAUAUAAAUUUUUGAUUCCUUCUUGUGUUCUUCAUUUUCACAAUGCAAAAACCUCAUUUUACAACUUUGAAGCCUUCUAGGUGUGAGCACAAAACAUGCCCAAUACAAAAAAGUUAUUUUUAUUAUACCCCACAUAAAUCUAUUUAAUAAUAAUGUUGUGAGGGAGGCUCACGUAUACAUAUGUUAAUUAAUAAUAGACACCCUCUACAAGAAAGGAAAUAAUUCCCUUUUGUUCAGAACCCCUCGUAUGUAAAUUGUGCAUUUAAUGCUAAAGAAUAUAAAGUCUCUAAACUGGUUCUAUCUGUAAUCAAAUAAUGAAGAAAGAAAGUAGUUAAAUGAACAUACCAUUCAGGGUCGAAUACAUUCAGCAAAAAGCGGUAGUGGGUCUUUGAUCAUGGUUAGAUGCAUAGUGAUAUCAAACAGUUGGUUCUCAUGUAGCAGCUAAAUGUUUCAGAUUUUUGUUUUAUUAAAUUUGGCAGUUUCACACUGAGAUCUACUGUAUUGCUAUUGAAUAAAAGACAGCGCCUAUGUUAGAAAGUAUUCCAUUUUCACAAUUGCAGGGAACUGGGAGAUUUUUCAGAAACAUGGGCCACAAAAAUGUACUCCUUUCACAGUGUUCUCCUAUUUCUGAACUGUGCAGUUAUCUAUUAAAUUUUCUAAAAGAUAUUUGUGUAAGGUGUAUGUAUGCUUGUGCAAUUAUGAAAAAAGCAGUUUUGGAAAACAGUGUAUUUAUUUAAAAAGUCACUUAUGGGGCAUGUACAAAACUGUAUACAAACAUUCAGUUUGCCCAGUAAAGUUGUUUUUGUGAUAUUUCUGUGUUGUUAAAUAAAGGACUUUAGUAUUCAAAAUAUCUCUCUUUUUCCAUAGAUAGAUUUUUGUUUGUGGGAUCUUUAACAAUGAAAACAUUAUCCUUAGAAAACUAAUCUUCAAAAUAACCAAGAAGAUGAAAAUGUACCUGAAUGAACAUUACAAAGCUUUGGUACAAUAGUGGCAUAAAGUUUUUAAUUUUCAAUUGGCAGUUGAUGAAAAAGUUGUGUACAUGGAGAUGACACAGUACAAUUAAUUUUUAUGAGAGAAGACAUUUUAA